UACGUAGGUGGCAAGCGUUAUCCGGAAUUAUUGGGCGUAAAGCGCGCGUAGGCGGUUCGUUAAGUCUGAUGUGAAAGCCCCCGGCUCAACCGGGGAGGGUCAUUGGAAACUGGCGGACUUGAGUGCAGAAGAGGAGAGUGGAAUUCCAUGUGUAGCGGUGAAAUGCGCAGAGAUAUGGAGGAACACCAGUGGCGAAGGCGGCUCUCUGGUCUGCAACUGACGCUGAGGUGCGAAAGCGUGGGGAUCAAACAGG
rnacentral:rRNA from 1 species